rnacentral:lncRNA from 1 species
AAAGGAUUAAAAAUUUUGUCUUUGUUCUGAAAAUGAAUCUAAAAUUUAAGCUCAGAAAAAAUGCUAUAGCAGAACUUUAUUAUUCAUGCUUUUAUUAUUGUUGUUUUCACUUUGAAUGUUCACGACUAUUCAUAGGGACUACACACAAAGAUUUAAUUGCUACCUCAUGCUAUAUUUGCACUACACAAUAUCUCCGUGUAAUUUGCUUGAAUUAUGUUGCAUAUUCCUCAAGAAUUUGAGUUCCAGUGUGUAAAUACAUUAUAAAUGCAGAGCAUUUUUUGUCUCCUUACAUUAAGGACCAUUAUCCUUUGAAUACUAUUCAAAUCUACUUGCUAUUAUUUUGACAUAUAAUAAAACAGCUCAAUUA